rnacentral:misc_RNA from 1 species
AUGGUAUGUUCCACUGUGUUUGCAACACCUUUAAGGAUGAAAAACUUCUGUCAAUCCCCUGAACUGGAUUCCGCAAUCAAGAAAAUAGGUUUCCAGGAUAUGACGAUUCGUGUCGCCUGA